AUGGCUCUCAUACGGGAGAAGAGGCUUCCGCAGCUGCAUCUCUCGCUGCCCGUCCCGCCCCGCGCCGUUGCCCAGGAGCUCGGCGUCCUCGGCCGGCGCCCAAACCCCGCGGUCGCGCCGGCGCCGACGGCCACCAAGGCCUCGACCCCGUCGGCUCUGUCCAGCCAGUUCCGCCUGGCCGACUUCGAGAAGCUCGCCGUCCUGGGCCGCGGGAACGGCGGCACGGUCUACAAGGUCCGCCACCGGGAGACAAGCGCGCUCUACGCGCUCAAGGUGCAGCACUACGGCGACCCCGCCGCGGCCGCCGAGGCCGACGUCCUCAGCCGCACCGCCUCGCCCUUCGUCGUCCGCUGCCACUCCGUCCUCCCCGCCGCGGCGUCCGGCGACGUCGCGCUGCUCCUCGAGCUGGUCGACGGCGGGUCGCUCGACUCCGUCAGGACCCGCCGCGGCGCGUUCGCGGAGGCCGCGCUCGCGGAGGUGGCCGCUCAGGCGCUGUCGGGGCUGGCAUACCUCCACGCCCGCCGCAUCGUGCACCUCGACGUCAAGCCGGCCAACCUCCUCAUCAGCACCGCCGGGGAGGUCAAGGUCGCCGACUUCGGCAUCGCCAAGGUGCUCGCCCGCGCGGGCGACUACUGCACGUCGUACGCCGGCACCUCCGCGUACAUGAGCCCGGAGCGCUUCGACCCGGAGGCGCACGGCGGGCACUACGACCCGUACGCCGCCGACGUGUGGAGCCUGGGGGUCACGCUCCUUGAGCUCUUCAUGGGCAGGUACCCGCUCCUCCCCGCCGGGCAGCGGCCGAGCUGGGCGGCGCUCAUGUGCGCCGUCUGCUUCGGCGAGCCGCCCGCUGCCAGACGGUGA
rnacentral:rRNA from 1 species